GCGAACCUGCGAAGGCAAGCGGAUCUCUUAAAGCCGUUCUCAGUUCGGACUGUAGGCUGCAACUCGCCUACACGAAGCUGGAAUCGCUAGUAAUCGCGGAUCAGCACGCCGCGGUGAAUACGUUCCCGGGCCUUGUACACACCGCCCGUCACACCAUGAGAGUCUGUAACACCCAAAGCCGGUGGGAUAACCUUUAUAGGAGUCAGCCGUCUAAGGUAGGACAGAUGAUUAGGGUGAAGUCGUAACAAGGUAGC
rnacentral:rRNA from 1 species